ACAAAUUCUGUUUAAAUAUCGGUUUGCAAAAGGAUUUCUCAACUGUCAUCAUUUUUUUUUUUCCUGUAUCCAAAUAAUCGCUCUCCCCUCUUCUUCUAGUUGUAGGAUUUUCCUGUCUGGUCGAAUUGGAUUUCCGCCUCUGGAUUCGUGCUGUUGAGAUGAAAAGCUUCCGAAACGAUGGUGGUGGUUACCCGGCCUCUCAGUCCCAUCGUGCCACCAGCAGUCUGCAUGGGAGACCCAACAAUGUCCGGAAGCCAACAGCAAAGGAUGCCUUAUCCUAUCUCAAGAAUGUGAGGGAAACAUUUCAGGAUAGCAGUGAGAAAUACAAUGAUUUCCUCGAACUCAUGAAAGAUUUUAAGGACAAGAGGGUCAACACCAAUGGUGUUGUAAAGAGGGUGAAAGAGUUAUUCAAAGGGCACCAGAAUCUCAUCUUGAAUUUCAAUUUCUUCUUGCCUAAAGGAUCCCAGAUCACCCUCAAUGAUAAGCCUCCAAUGAAGAAGACAGUCAAUUUUGAUGACAAAGUAAAGAAGCGAAGAGCUGUGAAUUACCAUGCUGAUCACGAUCUCGGCAUUGAUGGUCCUACUCCAAAUUAUAAAGCAGUAAUGAAAGUUGUCAAGAGGCAGAGGAAACACAAGCGGGAUUAUAAAUAUUUGGGGUGUGACAGCACAGAUAUAGAUAAUAGGGAGUGCUUCCCUCACAAACAGAUGUCUGAUGGGGAAGGAGCCAAAAUCUUUGGAGUGCAUCCCAUUUUGGGUUUUUCUUAUAAAGAUAAAAAUGCCUUCAAAAAUCUUUUGCCGUGUGCAGAAUCUCUAGGGAACAAAGUACAUCUAGCUACACGUGAGGUAGAUGACAGGGAUAAUGAAAGGGAUUGUGAAAGAGACGAUGGGGAAAAGGAUAGAGACAGUGAAAGGGAGAGAGAUGCACAGUGGGAGCAGUUUGACAAAGUGCCUGUGCUCCAAAACAAAGAAAAACAUGUAACCAAACCAAUCUCAGAGCUUGACUUCUCAAACCGUCAGAGCUGUAACCCUAGUUCUCAUCGUCUUCCAGAGAAUUAUCGAAGGCCUCCAGCUAGCCACCGGACAGAACUUGCGGCAUCUGUACUGAAUGAUGAUUCGGUAUCUGGAAGUGAUGAUUGUGGCAAAAAACAAUAUGAAGAAAUUCUAUUUAGAUUGGAAGAUGAUAGGUUUGAGCUGGACAUGCUGCUAGGGUCACUUAAUUCAACUAUCAAGCGUGUGGAAGAUUUAAAAGAAAAAAUUGAUAAUACGAUCAAGCCAGACAGUCAAAUCCACAUCAAGGACCACUUUACUGCUCUCAAUCUAAGGUGCAUCCAACGAUUAUAUGGUGAUCAUGGGCUGAAAUUUUUGGAUGUACUACACAAGAAUCCACGUGCUGCAUUGCCUGUUAUAGCAACUCACUUGAAGCAGAAACUAGAGACAUGUUUAAGAUGUCGUUCAGAUUUUAAUAACGCAUGGGCUGAAACUAGGCUAAGAAUUAUCUCAGAUCAGUUGACCACCAUUGCCACGGCUCACAUAUAAGGCGCCCUACCAACUGACUUGGCUCCUUGCAUUCUAGAAGCUUGCUGAUGCUCGUUUCCCAAUGUCUCCAUCCGAAUUCCUGCUUCAUGUCCCCUGCCUGCAUGCCACUAGGCGGCUUGUGUGCAGGACACAUGGAUGAUGCGUGAGUUGACUCUAGUGCGUUGCCUGGAGAGAUCAAUGGCUAUGCGGCUCUAAUUUCUAGACUACUUUUAUUAUUUUAUUGUUCAAUCUUUAAUUAUGAAACAUUAG